rnacentral:tRNA from 3 species
GGUCGCAUGGCUCAGUUGGUAGAGCACCGUGUUCACAUCGCGGGGGUCACAGGUUCGAGCCCUGUUGCGACCACCA